AUGAAACUUCUAUCAUGGAACUGCCGGGGACUCGGGAAUGAACCGGCAGUUCGAGCUUUGCUGGACGUCCAGCGAAGUACCCAUCCCGAUGUGAUGUUCUUGUCGGAGACACACCUUGAUAGCUAUCCGGCUGAAUGUUUGAGGCGCCGAUUAAAAAUGGAUCAAAAGAUGGUUUGUACAAGUAAUGGGAGAAGUGGAGGUCUUAUAUUGCUUUGGAGGAAUGGUGUAGUGGUUCAACGCCUCGGCUUGGAUCCGAUGUUUAUUGAUGUCCAGAUUUCGUGUGAUGGAGGUGCAACUUGGCGAUUGAGAGGGACGUAUGGCGAGUUCCGGUGGGGGAAUAAACACCUCACCUGGGAUCGUAUGCGUAGGUUACACCAGAAAAAUAACCUACCGUGGCUGCUGAUGGGAGACAUGAAUGAAAUUCAAUUUUUGCAUGAGAAAGAAGGCGGGAACCCGCGCCCACAACAAUAUAUGACGGCUUUUCAGCAGGCAAUAGAUGACUGUGAGUUGAACGAUAUGGGGUAUACUGGAGAUGUGUUUACUUGGCGUCGACGAAGAAUAAGAGAAAGACUGGAAGAGGCUUGA
rnacentral:rRNA from 1 species